UAAUCUCAUGCGGUAACUGUGA
rnacentral:miRNA from 1 species